GUCCAGGGGCGGGAAUCGAACCCACAACCUUCCGCUUACCGGGCAGAUGCCAUGUCCACUAGGCUACCCUAGU
rnacentral:tRNA from 1 species